AUGUUUUUUCAGCAUACAUGCAGAAUGUUGAUGUUUAUUUCAUAUUGUGUGUGCUCAGCAAGACUGGCAGCUGGUUAUUCACUUACUCAAACACUCACAGGUGUACUGAGACCAGCGCAACCUACACAUGACCCACUUCUGUGCUGCAUCGUUCUUCACUCUGCAAGGACGCCCAAAGACUGCUUUUGACAGAGGUACCUCCCCUCAUACAUACAGAUGGGAAAAAUAUCUGUGCCUGUAUUAGAUAUUUUUCAGAGAAUUGAAUUUCAGUUGUUAUUGACUAGACUGGGUCUAUGCUAUGGUUUUCAGGUUGUGGGCAAAAUAUUAUUUAAUGAUAUCCGUCCUCUAUCCCCGUUGUUAUAAAGAUGUUUUAAGUUCGGAUAAAAUCAGUCAUGGUUUGUUCUCUCUUUGAAAUUAAGACUGCAUCCGAAACUCAGCACUCUAGAUAGUUUGUGGAUUUUCUUCACUCCCUCACCCCCACCCCUUGCCUUUUUUUUUUUUUAAUAAGCCAUAUUUGAGAAAUUUAAAUUUAGCACCAUGUACAAAAAUGUCUUUAAUUUUCUGUUUUUAUAAGGAAAGUGGAGUAUUUAGUUUUGUGUCUGAAAGUGUUUCAGUUACUAAAUGAAUGAAAGCUUCAAAGUUGCCUCAAUCUAUCAACAGGGAAAAUAGUAGUUUUGCUUCUCUACAAGCUAGGUGUUGAAACCAUCUCCAGAUUCAUUAAAGCAUACUGUGGAAAUAAUUUUCUAGUGGGAGACAUAAUGAAUGUGCAAGGCAUUUUUACAACAUACAGGAGGCUAUAAAUUUUUAGAGAGCUUUUUAUUAUUAUUUCUGUGCUCUAAGUCAUAUUUUGCUAUAUGUCAUAAAGGUUUGAAAACUUAGAAUGCUUUGUAAUUACUCAGAGAAAAAUAACUCAUUACAUCUUAAAUUCAGAUAACAAAAGAAAUGCAUUGUUUGUGUAGGUUGUUUACUAGUUCUGCUUAUUCCAAUGGGCCUAGGCCAAGGGCAAACUGUUAUAAAACUGUAGCUGUGUAAAACAUCCUUUGCUGUUUGAGUGCACACAAACAAUA
rnacentral:lncRNA from 1 species